GACGAACGCUGGCGGCGUGCCUAAUACAUGCAAGUAGAACGCUGAAGAGAGGAGCUUGCUCUUCUUGGAUGAGUUGCGAACGGGUGAGUAACGCGUAGGUAACCUGCCUUGUAGCGGGGGAUAACUAUUGGAAACGAUAGCUAAUACCGCAUAACAAUGGAUGACACAUGUCAUUUAUUUGAAAGGGGCAAUUGCUCCACUACAAGAUGGACCUGCGUUGUAUUAGCUAGUAGGUGAGGUAACGGCUCACCUAGGCGACGAUACAUAGCCGACCUGAGAGGGUGAUCGGCCACACUGGGACUGAGACACGGCCCAGACUCCUACGGGAGGCAGCAGUAGGGAAUCUUCGGCAAUGGGGGCAACCCUGACCGAGCAACGCCGCGUGAGUGAAGAAGGUUUUCGGAUCGUAAAGCUCUGUUGUAAGUCAAGAACGAGUGUGAGAGUGGAAAGUUCACACUGUGACGGUAGCUUACCAGAAAGGGACGGCUAACUACGUGCCAGCAGCCGCGGUAAUACGUAGGUCCCGAGCGUUGUCCGGAUUUAUUGGGCGUAAAGCGAGCGCAGGCGGUUUGAUAAGUCUGAAGUUAAAGGCUGUGGCUCAACCAUAGUUUGCUUUGGAAACUGUCAAACUUGAGUGCAGAAGGGGAGAGUGGAAUUCCAUGUGUAGCGGUGAAAUGCGUAGAUAUAUGGAGGAACACCGGUGGCGAAAGCGGCUCUCUGGUCUGUAACUGACGCUGAGGCUCGAAAGCGUGGGGAGCGAACAGGAUUAGAUACCCUGGUAGUCCACGCCGUAAACGAUGAGUGCUAGGUGUUGGAUCCUUUCCGGGAUUCAGUGCCGCAGCUAACGCAUUAAGCACUCCGCCUGGGGAGUACGACCGCAAGGUUGAAACUCAAAGGAAUUGACGGGGGCCCGCACAAGCGGUGGAGCAUGUGGUUUAAUUCGAAGCAACGCGAAGAACCUUACCAGGUCUUGACAUCCCGAUGCUAUUUCUAGAGAUAGAAAGUUACUUCGGUACAUCGGUGACAGGUGGUGCAUGGUUGUCGUCAGCUCGUGUCGUGAGAUGUUGGGUUAAGUCCCGCAACGAGCGCAACCCCUAUUGUUAGUUGCCAUCAUUCAGUUGGGCACUCUAGCGAGACUGCCGGUAAUAAACCGGAGGAAGGUGGGGAUGACGUCAAAUCAUCAUGCCCCUUAUGACCUGGGCUACACACGUGCUACAAUGGUUGGUACAACGAGUUGCAAGUCGGUGACGGCAAGCUAAUCUCUUAAAGCCAAUCUCAGUUCGGAUUGUAGGCUGCAACUCGCCUACAUGAAGUCGGAAUCGCUAGUAAUCGCGGAUCAGCACGCCGCGGUGAAUACGUUCCCGGGCCU
rnacentral:rRNA from 1 species